rnacentral:rRNA from 1 species
UGGGGAAUAUUGGACAAUGGGCGCAAGCCUGAUCCAGCAAUGCCGCGUGUGUGAAGAAGGCCUGCGGGUUGUAAAGCACUUUCAGUGGGGAAGAACAGGCUGGGGUUAAUACCCCCGGUUUCUGACGUUACCCACAGAAGAAGCACCGGCUAACUCCGUGCCAGCAGCCGCGGUAAUACGGAGGGUGCAAGCGUUAAUCGGAAUCACUGGGCGUAAAGCGCACGUAGGCGGCACGUUAAGUCAGAUGUGAAACCCCUGGGCUCAACCUGGGAAUGGCAUUUGAUACUGGCGCGCUCGAGUCUGAGAGAGGGGGGUGGAAUUCCAGGUGUAGCGGUGAAAUGCGUAGAUAUCUGGAGGAACACCGGUGGCGAAGGCGGCCCCCUGGCUCAUGACUGACGCU